AUGUAUAUACAUAUGUGUAUGUGUCGUGUGAUGUGACAGCUGGCAUCGGUUGCGCGAGGUUAGUGGGAUUAUUUAUAUAAAUAUGUAUGUGUCGUGUGAUGUGACAGCUGGCAUCGGUUGCGCGAGAUAUACCGAUAAAUUUAAAAUAUUCGAGAAGAUAUGAUGGGAUUAGCUAUUGGUGCUCAUGGUGCAAAUAUAUUCAACAAGCGUGAAAAGUUGAUGACAUUACAAAUAUCGUUAGAAGAAAAUUCAUGCACAUUUAAGAUAUAAUAUAGAGAGACGCAUGAAGCUGUUAAAAAAGACUGAUUUAUGCUGGAAUACAGCGAUAACCUAGAAAUAAAUAGAUAGUGACAGUCGUGACCAUCGCCGCGUGAUAG